CAGUCGCGUCGACCGAGACUCAGCCUUGCCUCGGCUUGGUGUACUUCUCGGCAGACGGGUCAGCAUCAAUUUAUCGUGUGUUAACUUGUGGGCGUGCGUGAGUUUCGGCCUCGCUGUUUGCAUGUUUGUGCACUUUGGGUGUACUUGCCCGUGUGUAAGUUAACAUCAAUUUUGGUGGUCAUAAAAUGGCUGGAGAAUGUAGCUUCGAUCUUGUAUUGAAGUGUUAUAG
rnacentral:rRNA from 1 species